GAGUUUGAUCGUGGCUCAGAUUGAACGCUGGCGGCAUGCCUUACACAUGCAAGUCGAACGGCAGCACGGGAGCUUGCUCCUGGUGGGCGAGUGGCGAACGGGUGAGUAAUGCAUCGGAACGUAUCCUGGAGUGGGGGAUAACGGUAGCGAAAGUUACGCUAAUACCGCAUAUUCUGUGAGCAGGAAAGCGGGGGACCUUCGGGCCUCGCGCUCUUGGAGCGGCCGAUGUCGGAUUAGCUAGUUGGUGAGGUAAAGGCUCACCAAGGCGACGAUCCGUAGCAGGUCUGAGAGGAUGAUCUGCCACACUGGAACUGAGACACGGUCCAGACUCCUACGGGAGGCAGCAGUGGGAAUUUUGGACAAUGGGGGCAACCCUGAUCCAGCCAUGCCGCGUGAGUGAAGAAGGCCUCGGUGUAAG
rnacentral:rRNA from 1 species